UGGUUAAUGAGGAAGAACAAAUUUUCCCCAAAUUCCUAAAUUAUCUGAAAAAGUGAGCAGAAUUUGGCAGAUUGUUUCUAACGAAACUAAUCAUGGAUAUUUUUAAGUCAUUACUUUCAAAACCAACAGAGAAUAAUGAUGUGGUCUAUUGUUAAAGAAUAUGAGCAGGUAUUCAUACAAAUAUGGCGAUAGAGAGCUUGAAUAAAUAUCCGAAAUCUAAUAAAAUAGAAGGAAAAGAAAAUAAGAGUUGACAAGCUAUCAGAUUUGUUGGAAGAAAUAGUUGAUGAGAAGAUGUGGAUGAAAAUGAUGAGAAAUGAAAGACCUAACUCCAACAACCAUCAACAAAAAAUUUCUGUAGAAUCUCAUAAAAAAGCAGAAACAAUGAAAGACUUAAUAGAGGAGGUCUGUAUAUGAUGAUAAAUAUUAUAAUACACAAUUUAUAUCAUCAUGUGAUCCAGAUUGUGGUUUAGGAUAUUGUAGUCAUUAUUAAAUAUGCUUGCACAAAUAUAAAUAAUAAAUUCUGUUUAAGAUGACGACAACAAUUUAGAAAUUAAUGAGCCAUCAACAAGUUAACUAUAAUGAAGAUGUGGGACAUUUUAUAGAUGAAACCAUUUCUAGUUCACAAAAUUUCACAUCUAUAAGCAAUGACACAGAAAAUGAUUUGCUGAAAUGUGUAAAACAAUUGAAGACUCUCAAUGCAGAAGGAAAGAGGAGAUUAUUUGCAACUAUCAAUGGAAAAUUUUCCAAACAUAGGGUCAAUGCCAAGAAGAACUAACAUCUAAGAAGUGAAAAUUGAGAAGCAAAUCUAUUUCCCAAGAAAAAAAAUGAAUAGAAUGCAUCUUCUAUGAAAAUGACUUUUCUCUAAAUUCAUAUUCUUUUUUCAUUUUUAGCAGAGACUACCAGAACUUCAUAGCAAAUAAUUUAGAACAUUGAAAUGAGAUUGACAAAAAAAUCGAGGUAAUAAAUUCUAACUGAACCAGCAUGUUACACAUAUAAGGGACGUACAAUGUUCAAAUGUGGAUAGAAGAACCAGUCAAUAUCAAAAUGAAAUAUGACAUAUUGUACAUCCUUUACAUAAAUCAAUGAAAUUAAUUAUAAUUAAUAUAUUAUAUAAUAAUAUAAUAUAAUUAUAUAUAAUUUUGAACAACUGUAAGUUUUCUUACAAUAAACUACUUCCUGUAUUGA